rnacentral:rRNA from 1 species
GGUUAAGCGACUAAGCGUACACGGUGGAUGCCCUGGCAGUCAGAGGCGAUGAAGGACGUGCUAAUCUGCGAUAAGCGUCGGUAAGGUGAUAUGAACCGUUAUAACCGGCGAUUUCCGAAUGGGGAAACCCAGUGUGUUUCGACACACUAUCAUUAACUGAAUCCAUAGGUUAAUGAGGCGAACCGGGGGAACUGAAACAUCUAAGUACCCCGAGGAAAAGAAAUCAACCGAGAUUCCCCCAGUAGCGGCGAGCGAACGGGGAGCAGCCCAGAGCCUGAAUCAGUGUGUGUGUUAGUGGAAGCGUCUGGAAAGGCGCGCGAUACAGGGUGACAGCCCCGUACACAAAAAUGCACAUGCUGUGAGCUCGAUGAGUAGGGCGGGACACGUGGUAUCCUGUCUGAAUAUGGGGGGACCAUCCUCCAAGGCUAAAUACUCCUGACUGACCGAUAGUGAACCAGUACCGUGAGGGAAAGGCGAAAAGAACCCCGGCGAGGGGAGUGAAAAAGAACCUGAAACCGUGUACGUACAAGCAGUGGGAGCACAGAGCAAUCUGUGUGACUGCGUACCUUUUGUAUAAUGGGUCAGCGACUUAUAUUCUGUAGCAAGGUUAACCGAAUAGGGGAGCCGAAGGGAAACCGAGUCUUAACUGGGCGUUAAGUUGCAGGGUAUAGACCCGAAACCCGGUGAUCUAGCCAUGGGCAGGUUGAAGGUUGGGUAACACUAACUGGAGGACCGAACCGACUAAUGUUGAAAAAUUAGCGGAUGACUUGUGGCUGGGGGUGAAAGGCCAAUCAAACCGGGAGAUAGCUGGUUCUCCCCGAAAGCUAUUUAGGUAGCGCCUCGUGAAUUCAUCUCCGGGGGUAGAGCACUGUUUCGGCAAGGGGGUCAUCCCGACUUACCAACCCGAUGCAAACUGCGAAUACCGGAGAAUGUUAUCACGGGAGACACACGGCGGGUGCUAACGUCCGUCGUGAAGAGGGAAACAACCCAGACCGCCAGCUAAGGUCCCAAAGUCAUGGUUAAGUGGGAAACGAUGUGGGAAGGCCCAGACAGCCAGGAUGUUGGCUUAGAAGCAGCCAUCAUUUAAAGAAAGCGUAAUAGCUCACUGGUCGAGUCGGCCUGCGCGGAAGAUGUAACGGGGCUAAACCAUGCACCGAAGCUGCGGCAGCGACGCUUAUGCGUUGUUGGGUAGGGGAGCGUUCUGUAAGCCUGCGAAGGUGUGCUGUGAGGCAUGCUGGAGGUAUCAGAAGUGCGAAUGCUGACAUAAGUAACGAUAAAGCGGGUGAAAAGCCCGCUCGCCGGAAGACCAAGGGUUCCUGUCCAACGUUAAUCGGGGCAGGGUGAGUCGACCCCUAAGGCGAGGCCGAAAGGCGUAGUCGAUGGGAAACAGGUUAAUAUUCCUGUACUUGGUGUUACUGCGAAGGGGGGACGGAGAAGGCUAUGUUGGCCGGGCGACGGUUGUCCCGGUUUAAGCGUGUAGGCUGGUUUUCCAGGCAAAUCCGGAAAACUAAGGCUGAGGCGUGAUGACGAGGCACUACGGUGCUGAAGCAACAAAUGCCCUGCUUCCAGGAAAAGCCUCUAAGCAUCAGGUAACAUCAAAUCGUACCCCAAACCGACACAGGUGGUCAGGUAGAGAAUACCAAGGCGCUUGAGAGAACUCGGGUGAAGGAACUAGGCAAAAUGGUGCCGUAACUUCGGGAGAAGGCACGCUGAUAUGUAGGUGAAGUCCCUCGCGGAUGGAGCUGAAAUCAGUCGAAGAUACCAGCUGGCUGCAACUGUUUAUUAAAAACACAGCACUGUGCAAACACGAAAGUGGACGUAUACGGUGUGACGCCUGCCCGGUGCCGGAAGGUUAAUUGAUGGGGUUAGCGGUAACGCGAAGCUCUUGAUCGAAGCCCCGGUAAACGGCGGCCGUAACUAUAACGGUCCUAAGGUAGCGAAAUUCCUUGUCGGGUAAGUUCCGACCUGCACGAAUGGCGUAAUGAUGGCCAGGCUGUCUCCACCCGAGACUCAGUGAAAUUGAACUCGCUGUGAAGAUGCAGUGUACCCGCGGCAAGACGGAAAGACCCCGUGAACCUUUACUAUAGCUUGACACUGAACAUUGAGCCUUGAUGUGUAGGAUAGGUGGGAGGCUUAGAAGUGUGGACGCCAGUCUGCAUGGAGCCGACCUUGAAAUACCACCCUUUAAUGUUUGAUGUUCUAACGUGGACCCGUGAUCCGGGUUGCGGACAGUGUCUGGUGGGUAGUUUGACUGGGGCGGUCUCCUCCUAAAGAGUAACGGAGGAGCACGAAGGUUGGCUAAUCCUGGUCGGACAUCAGGAGGUUAGUGCAAUGGCAUAAGCCAGCUUGACUGCGAGCGUGACGGCGCGAGCAGGUGCGAAAGCAGGUCAUAGUGAUCCGGUGGUUCUGAAUGGAAGGGCCAUCGCUCAACGGAUAAAAGGUACUCCGGGGAUAACAGGCUGAUACCGCCCAAGAGUUCAUAUCGACGGCGGUGUUUGGCACCUCGAUGUCGGCUCAUCACAUCCUGGGGCUGAAGUAGGUCCCAAGGGUAUGGCUGUUCGCCAUUUAAAGUGGUACGCGAGCUGGGUUUAGAACGUCGUGAGACAGUUCGGUCCCUAUCUGCCGUGGGCGCUGGAGAACUGAGGGGGGCUGCUCCUAGUACGAGAGGACCGGAGUGGACGCAUCACUGGUGUUCGGGUUGUCAUGCCAAUGGCACUGCCCGGUAGCUAAAUGCGGAAGAGAUAAGUGCUGAAAGCAUCUAAGCACGAAACUUGCCCCGAGAUGAGUUCUCCCUGACUCCUUGAGAGUCCUGAAGGAACGUUGAAGACGACGACGUUGAUAGGCCGGGUGUGUAAGCGCAGCGAUGCGUUGAGCUAACCGGUACUAAUGAACCGUGAGGCUUAACCUU